rnacentral:rRNA from 1 species
CCUACGGGAGGCAGCAGUGAGGAAUAUUGGACAAUGGGCGAGAGCCUGAUCCAGCCAUGCCGCGUGCAGGAAGACUGCCCUAUGGGUUGUAAACUGCUUUUAUACGGGAAGAAACACCACUACGUGUAGUGGCUUGACGGUACCGUAAGAAUAAGCACCGGCUAACUCCGUGCCAGCAGCCGCGGUAAU